UGGGUUAAGUCCCGCAACGAGCGCAACCCUCGACCUUAGUUGCCAGCAUUCAGUUGGGCACUCUAAGGUGACUGCCGGCUAAAAGUCGGAGGAAGGUGGGGAUGACGUCAAAUCAUCAUGCCCCUUAUGACCUGGGCUACACACGUGCUACAAUGGGCGGUACAAAGGGUCGCGAACCCGCGAGGGGGAGCCAAUCCCAAAAAAGCCGCUCUCAGUUCGGAUUGCAGGCUGCAACUCGCCUGCAUGAAGCCGGAAUCGCUAGUAAUCGCGGAUCAGCAUGCCCGCGGUCGAAUACGUUCCCGGGCCUU
rnacentral:rRNA from 1 species